rnacentral:misc_RNA from 1 species
GGAAGCGGAUGGGGGCCGGCGAUGUGCCUCGGUCGGAUGCGGAACGGCGUCAGCCGGUUCGCCGCUCGGCUCGGGGUACGGACCGUUGCGGGCUGUGUCGGCGGCCGAAGCCCGGGCGGUUGAUCCCGCCCGUGGAUAUGCCGUCGGAACGGCCGGGGAAGCGGCGUGCGUCGUCAAGACGGCACCCAUGUGGCGCCCGCACGCCCCCGGCACCGGUCUGUGGGCUCCCCAUCCGACCCGUCUUGAAACACGGACC